rnacentral:rRNA from 1 species
UACGGAGGGUGCAAGCGUUGUCCGGAAUCACUGGGCGUAAAGGGCGCGUAGGCGGCUCAUGAAGGCUGUGGUGAAAGUCCGGGGCUCAACCUCGGAUCGGCCGUGGCGACUCGUGGGCUGGAGCACUGUAGAGGCGGGUGGAAUUCCGGGUGGAGCGGUGAAAUGCGUGGAGAUCCGGAGGAACACCGACGGCGUAGGCAGCGCCCUAGACGAGACCUGACACUCAGGCACGAAAGCGCGGGGAGCGAACAGG